rnacentral:rRNA from 1 species
UGGGGAAUUUUGGACAAUGGGCGCAAGCCUGAUCCAGCAAUGCCGCGUGAGUGAAGAAGGCCUUCGGGUUGUAAAGCUCUUUCAGUCGAGAAGAAAAGGUUGUGACCAAUAAUCACAACUCAUGACGGUAUCGACAGAAGAAGCACCGGCUAACUACGUGCCAGCAGCCGCGGUAAUACGUAGGGUGCGAGCGUUAAUCGGAAUUACUGGGCGUAAAGGGUGCGCAGGCGGUUUUGUAAGUCAGAUGUGAAAUCCCCGGGCUUAACCUGGGAACUGCGUUUGAAACUACAAGACUAGAGUGUGGCAGAGGGGGGUGGAAUUCCAUGUGUAGCAGUGAAAUGCGUAGAGAUAUGGAAGAACAUCGAUGGCGAAGGCAGCCCCCUGGGUUAACACUGACGCUCAUGCACGAAAGCGUGGGAGCAAACAGGAUUAGAUACCCGUGUAGUCCCUGAGCGGGCUGGCAAGGCGCAU